rnacentral:lncRNA from 1 species
UACAUCCACUCCAGUACAUUUGUUGGUAAGUAUAAGAGUUUUAUCCAAGACUGACAACAAAUAAGAUAAAAAUAACUGGAUUAAUGUUAAGCUUAAUCCUGUUAAACAACAUGAUAUUCAAGAUAAUGUACAGAAUAUGAUGCACUUUUCAAAUACUGAGUUUAAAUUGAUAUGAAAUGUUGAUUUAUCUGUAACACCGUUGCAUAUUUUAUAAGGAAUAUACAGUUUUUUCCUUGUAGAAAACAGUGUGCUAACAACAUUACUACACUACUAAAUUAAUUUUUCUGAAACAUUUUAUCUUGCAGGGAAAGUCUGAAUCUUGAUUUUGGCAAUUAUUAAGUGGGAAAAUCAUUCAGAUUAAGUACUUUGAAGUGUGAAGUGAGGCUUAUCUGAAUGUAUUAAAUAUCUCUUUUCCCCCCUCUCCCCCGCCUCCUGCCUCAUCAUGUCCUCUGACCGGGGCGAAAAUCCCUACCAACUCUGUAGUGUAAGUUCACACUUAUAUGUACUUAUUAAUCAAUCACUUUAAUGUUACAUUUUUGCUCCGUAGUUUAUAAUGACAUUUCACUGUUUUGUAUUUCACCUCAAUAACAUACAGACGAAAGUAAAGAUAGGUCCUUCGUUGUGUUCGUGCAUUUUCUCUCCGUUUUAGCAAACAUUUUUUACAGGCCAAGGGAGCUGCAGUAACAUCCUUUUACUAAUCGAGUGCGACAAAUUGUAGACUUUGAUAAGAAAUGAGAAAACUAAUGAUCCACACUGAAAAGUUGUGGUUCCAGUAAACUAUAAGAUGCUGAUUUUUUUGCAACUAAAUCUAUUUAUUUUUUGUCCCUCUGUCUUUUCCCUCCUGGACUCCUCAAUGCUAUCUCUAGUGCUAGCCCUGUUCACUGUUGGCAACUCAGCUGUAAGUUCACAAAUAAAGUAACUUAAAAAUGUUUACACUGUUACUUUUUACAACACAUCAUCUAAAAACCUGACAUUAUGUCCUUAAUUAAACUAAUGCAGAACCAAAUGGAUUUAAUUUUGCUGACUGAUUACAGCUGAAACUGCAAUGCAGUGAGAUGUGCUGGUUUUGUACAAUCAAACAAAAAAUCUCUUGUCUCUAUUUUUCCAUUUUCCUUUUUGCCAACUUUGUCCUCUCUCCAAGUGCAGACCGCUUUGUGGUGACUCGACGUAAGUUCACACAGGAAUGACAUUUUCAUGAAUAAGACAGUGUGCCAUUAUUCAACACAUUAUGGACCCCUCAUCAUGUCCUAACUUAAUUCGCUUCCUUUGAUUAUGUAAUACUCACAGUUGGAAAUGAACAGCUUGAAUGUAAUAUGCAAUACACUUAUUUGUAUUUCAUUUCCAGUCAUUGGAAAGCAAUUUAUUACUAUUGAAUUGUGGAGUUGUAAUUUUUUUAAUGAUGAAAAUCCAAAUAAUUACGAAUUGAAUGUGAUUCCCUCCUUUGUGCAUCAUAAAGGAUACUACUAACAAAAAACAAGCUAAUUUUAUGUUCCUUAAUGUGGAAUAGACAAUCAUUAUCUAUGCCGCCAUUGAUUUAUUUUAUCAUUCAUUUAAUCCUAUGUUUAGAAAUGUGUAUAUCCUUCUAAGGUACCUUGCAUGCUUCUGUUCACAGCUUAAGGAGGUGCUUGGCUUUAUUACUACUUAUUAAAUUGUUGUAAUACUUAAAACACAGUAAAGGAAAUUACAUUCUCCAAAACACAUAAUAUUUUAUCAGCAGAGUAAUCCAUUGUUAUUAUUGCUUACCAGGACAUGGUUAUGAACAUUAUAAAGGGAACUUAAAAUAAAGAGUCUAAAAUACACAGGGAUAAUAUAACUUUUUGUAAAAUACUUUGAGGUCCUAAAUUUAAAAAGGUGGCUCUGUGGUUGGUUCAAGUUGGACUCACUGGAGGAUGGUGGUGAGAUGUACUGUGACGAAGGUGGAGGCUAUUCUAAAGAACAUGGAUCACCCACUUCAUAAAACCUUGAUGGACCGAAGGGCCAAUGAUGGUGGACGGCUCUCUUUGCUGCAGGACAAAAAGAUUCAAAAGAUCUUUUGUACCCACAGCCAUCAGACUUAACAAUUUAAAUAGCAGAUGACUUUUUGAGACAUGACAAAUGAGACUAUAGACAAUUAAAUUUCCCUUAGGGGAUAAAUAAAGUUCUUCGUAUCUUAAAUAAAUUUUUAAUUAACUCUUAUGAACACUUUGGAUUUUUAGUCCUUAUUAGUUUGAUUGAAGGAUUAUCGAACAAGACAAUGGUCACUUCCAGCUUUUGACCUUGACUUUUGUUAGAUGUAUAAUUCAGGACAGCCACUUAGUGGGUUGAGUAAAAGUACAUUAUAAUGUCAUUAGCUUGGGUGGAUGUUGGUUCAUUUUAUUUUAUUUCUUUAAUAAAAAGAGAUUGUUUGUUUCCAUUGUGUCUUACAGGUAUCCUGUCCAGUCUCCCACUCUCCCCUAUCGUUUUGGUCGCUCUGUCUUUCCUAUCUCCUCUACCACUCUGUCUGAUUGAAAAGCACUCUGUCUUGUGUCCCCCUUUUCUCUAUCCCUUUGGAUAAGUUUUGGACGAUCUGACUUUCCUGUCUCCUCUACCGCUCUGUCUGAUUGAAAAGCAACUCUGUCUUUCCAUCCCCCUUCUAUCCCAUUCUGACUCAUUGAACAAGCGUUUUACAAGCCUUUUACAAGCAUUUCACAAGCCUUUGACAAGCCUUUCAGAACCUAUUUUGAGAACCUAUUUUGAGAACCUUUUUUGAGAAACCUUUUGAAACAAGCAACCUUUCUUUUAGGCAAAACUUUUGAAACGGAAGUACAUUUAAUACAACUGCUAUUUUGAAAAAUCCCUAAUUUUGCACAAGUCUGAUUGUUGUUCUAGGUCCUCCUCUCCUGUCUGUGGAUCCAGAGUUUCGCCAGAAGAAGUGUCAUCAACACCACCACAUCUGCAUCCCUGAUUUUGAAAGAACAUAAAAACACGUUUUAUAUAGAAUAUUUGAGUUAGAUAUUAUUUCAAGCAACCCUUGAAUACCCUAUUUUGAAAGAAAAAGUUUCAUAGAAAAUAUUUGAGUUACAUAUUAUUUCAAGCACAAAGAUCUAAGAUUUAAAAUUUGUUGAUAGUUUGUGUUUUUUCUUAAAACAUUUAUAUAGUCUUGCCAAAGAUUUCCUUAUAAAACAUUUGAUUAACUAUUGUUGGCAUACAC